GAAUUAUGAUUUUUCUUAACUAGCAUCGAUACGUAUGCAUUGACUAUGUCUCUCUUGGCAAUGAGUCUUGAAGAGUUAAUACCAUUAAACCAUUCAAAGGCUUACCUAUUUUCCGUUUUCAUCAGAACAUGCCUUGUAUUUUCUACCCUUGUUAUUGUUCUCUAAGUUCCCUUUUUCGGUAAGCCUUAUCAAUCGUUGCAACUGUAAUAUGACAUAGUCGUACUAUGUUAUAGAUAAGACGCAUCUGAUGAUUUUUUGCAGGUUUGGUAAUAUCGUUGAUUGGAUCAAUACUUACAAUACUUGUAUUAAGUUCCCUUCCUUUUUUCGGUUAUUUCUCAUAGUGUUAUUGACUGCAUCAUUUUACUGACUAAUAUCAACCUUGCUGACUGACUUUGAUUCUACCAUGUGUUUUUUACCUAAGAAACUUGCGAGGCAAAGUCACGCGAUUACAGAUAUGAUAGUUCGACUAAUAUCACGCCAUCAAUUAUCAUUUGAAGUAUCAUGUAGAGAAUUCUAAUUUUUUUAGUGUGUUUAAUGGAUGCAGAUUCUUUCCUAUUUCACAUACAUGGAUAAUUCUUGGAACAGUCUUGUAAUAUCAAUUUUAUCACAGUUUUAGUUGGCUGGCUACAAGUGUGUUCUGGCAUUAGUUUUAGCUGGCAUUAGUGUUGUCAUGAUUACAGGUUUUCAUCACCAGUUUAUCACAAGAGUUCAUUGAGGAUGAGAGCUUCCAAUCAAUAGGGAAGUCAAGUAGCUUCACAGUGUCACCAGUUUAAAUUGAAACCCUUUGUUAUGAAACUCAAUUUAAAGUUUUCGUUAUGUAAAUGCACUAGACGAACUUGGUUUUUAGUUAGAUAUAUUUAGUGUUGCAACUUGUGAAUUGACCUUUGAUUCAU